rnacentral:rRNA from 1 species
UACAUGCAGUCGAACGCACAGCGAAAGGUGCUUGCACCUUUCAAGUGAGUGGCGAACGGGUGAGUAACACGUGGACAACCUGCCUCAAGGCUGGGGAUAACAUUUGGAAACAGAUGCUAAUACCGAAUAAAACUUAGUGUCGCAUGACACAAAGUUAAAAGGCGCUUCGGCGUCACCUAGAGAUGGAUCCGCGGUGCAUUAGUUAGUUGGUGGGGUAAAGGCCUACCAAGACAAUGAUGCAUAGCCGAGUUGAGAGACUGAUCGGCCACAUUGGGACUGAGACACGGCCCAAACUCCUACGGGAGGCUGCAGUAGGGAAUCUUCCACAAUGGGCGAAAGCCUGAUGGAGCAACGCCGCGUGUGUGAUGAAGGCUUUCGGGUCGUAAAGCACUGUUGUAUGGGAAGAACAGCUAGAAUAGGAAAUGAUUUUAGUUUGACGGUACCAUACCAGAAAGGGACGGCUAAAUACGUGCCAGCAGCCGCGGUAAUACGUAUGUCCCGAGCGUUAUCCGGAUUUAUUGGGCGUAAAGCGAGCGCAGACGGUUUAUUAAGUCUGAUGUGAAAGCCCGGAGCUCAACUCCGGAAUGGCAUUGGAAACUGGUUAACUUGAGUGCAGUAGAGGUAAGUGGAACUCCAUGUGUAGCGGUGGAAUGCGUAGAUAUAUGGAAGAACACCAGUGGCGAAGGCGGCUUACUGGACUGCAACUGACGUUGAGGCUCGAAAGUGUGGGUAGCAAACAGGAUUAGAUACCCUGGUAGUCCACACCGUAAACGAUGAACACUAGGUGUUAGGAGGUUUCCGCCUCUUAGUGCCGAAGCUAACGCAUUAAGUGUUCCGCCUGGGGAGUACGACCGCAAGGUUGAAACUCAAAGGAAUUGACGGGGACCCGCACAAGCGGUGGAGCAUGUGGUUUAAUUCGAAGCAACGCGAAGAACCUUACCAG